CAACUGUGUAGCCAAACUACCCUUAUUUAGGUAUAUCUUCAAAAAAUGGAAAUAGAAUAUCUAACUGUUAUUCAAUUUAGAUUGAAAUGACAUUUAGUUGAAUUAUUAGAAACAAUUUUUUGGUCUUUCAGUAUUCACCGCAGAUCGAUUAACUCAAUACUAUAUUGAUCAAAUAGCUAAUAAGAAUCAUUUUACAAAAAUAAUAUUUUUAGGCUACCGAAACAAGAAGAUUAUUGCUUGGGAUCGACAUCCAUCCUGAUAAAGAGGAAGCCUAUGAGUCUGCUAUAACGGCGGCCCUUCGUUUGAUGCAGAGCGAUUUGAAUAUAAAUGCAUGUAAUUUAUUUAAUAUUGAUAAUACAUUGAUAUUUUCCUGUAUAUCUGCUGGAUCUACGUACUUAUUCGUAAUGAUGCAAUAUGAAUUGGAAUAUUCGAAAAAUAACAAAGAUUCUUAGGAUGGAAUACAAGAAAUAAAUCUUAAAGAUAAUAAAAUGAGAGAAAUUGUUAAAUUGAAAUUUCAAAAAAUUUCAUAUAUGGAAUAAGACAAAAUGCUUCAUUUGUUGUCUCUCAAUUUACCUAAAUUAAUCAUGGUUCAAAAACAAUUAUCGCCCACAUAAUGUCUUAUAAGAAAAGGACUCUUUGUCAGCCCCAAUAUAAGAGCAAUUUAUUCUGUGAAUAACUAUUUUUUUUUUAAUAAAAUAUUCUAGUUUUUCAAUAUUGGUGAAAACCGCAUUUUAAAUAAAUACUCUCACUAUGUAAUUUCAAGUGCACU